GAUUUCUGGCGAACCGGCUCAACCCGAUACUGUAUGGUAUUGAGUGCUGAGUCGUGUUGGUCAUCCUUCCGGAAAGCUGCGUCUACCAUUCAGUUGGCCGGACGUACGUGAUCCGGAUCUAUUACUUUGAAAAAAUUAGAGUGUUUAAAGCAGGCUUACGCUAUGAAUACAUUAGCAUGGAAUAAUAAUUUAGGACUUCGGUUCUAUUUUGUUGGUUUCUAGGACUGAAGUAAUGAUUGAUAGGGAUAGUUGGGGGUGCUAGUAUUCCGCGGCCAGAGGUGAAAUUCUUGGAUUCGGUCAAGACUAACUUAUGCGAAAGCAUU
rnacentral:rRNA from 1 species